rfam:Pan troglodytes isolate Yerkes chimp pedigree #C0471 (Clint) chromosome 13, whole genome shotgun sequence.
UGUUUAUCUCUAGGGUUGAUCUAUUAGAAUUACUUAUCUGAGCCAAAGUAAUUCAAGUAAUUCAGGUGUAGUGAAAC